rnacentral:rRNA from 1 species
AUGGCUACAUAUAUUGUAUACAUGAAAAUUAAGAUGUAUAUAGCAUGUCCGAGAGGCUAUUUUCCUCUUUUUGGUUAUACUUACUACUGUCCAUUUGAAGACAAAGGAAAACUUCUGCGAAACAACUUUUUUCAGAUUGUUUUAUCAUUUUCAACUCAUGGUUCAAUUAUGUUUACCUUUUGUCACCUUAUAUUUAUGGAAAUUCCUAUCAACAUAUUGCCAAAACAGAUGGGCGCGGCAACGUGCGCCUUCGAUGAUCUAGUAACAUGUAUAUCAGAUAUAAUUUUGUUGAGUUGCCAGCCUUCUUAUCUGCCAAGUAUCUAG